GACGAACGCUGGCGGCGUGCUUAACACAUGCAAGUCGAACGGAAAGGCCCUGCUUUUGUGGGGUGCUCGAGUGGCGAACGGGUGAGUAACCCGUGAGUAACCUGCCCUUGCCUUUGGGAUAACUUCAGGAAACUGGGGCUAAUCCCGGAUAGGAGCUCCUGCUGCAUGGUGGGGGUUGGAAAGUUUCGGCGGUUGGGGAUGGACUCGCGGCUUAUCAGCUUGUUGGUGGGGUAGUGGCUUACCAAGGCUUUGACGGGUAGCCGGCCUGAGAGGGUGACCGGCCACAUUGGGACUGAGAUACGGCCCAGACUCCUACGGGAGGCAGCAGUGGGGAAUAUUGCACAAUGGGCGGAAGCCUGAUGCAGCAACGCCGCGUGCGGGAUGACGGCCUUCGGGUUGUAAACCGCUUUCGCCUGUGACGAAGCGUGAGUGACGGUAAUGGGUAAAGAAGCACCGGCUAACUACGUG
rnacentral:rRNA from 1 species